GAUGAAGAACGUAGCGAAAUGCGAUACGUAAUGUGAAUUGCAGAAUUCAGUGAAUCAUCGAAUCUUUGAACGCAUAUUGCGCUCUCUGGUAUUCCGGAGAGCAUGCUUGUUUGAGUAUCAGUAAACACCUCAACUUCCAUAUCUUUUUUGAAAUGGGAGUUGGACUUGAGUGAUCCCAACGCUUUUCCUCACCGAAAAGUGGCGGGUUACUUGAAAUGCAGGUGCAGCUGGACUUUUCUCUGAGCUAUAAGCAUAUCUAUUUAGUCUGCCUAAAAAACAGAUUAUUACCUUUGCUGCAGCUAACAUAAAGGAGAUUAGUUCUUGUGCUGACUGAUGCAGGAUUCACAAAGACGGGCUUCGGCCGACUUUGUAAACUCGAUCUCAAAUCAAGUAAGACUACCCGCUGAACUUAAGCAUAUCAAUAAGCGGAGGA
rnacentral:misc_RNA from 1 species